rnacentral:tRNA from 2 species
GGGGGUGUAGCUCAGUGGUUGAGUGUGUGCUUAGCAUGCACAAGGCCCUGGGUUUAAUCUCUAGCACCCCUA